GCACGGUGGGAACUCUGUCCCUUACGC
rnacentral:sRNA from 1 species